ACACUUACCUGGCAGGGUUGUUAUGACCGCAGAGGUGGAUUUCCCAGGGUGAGGCUUAUCCAUUGUAUUCUGGAUGUGCUUAUCCCUAUGAUUUCCCAAAAUGUUGUAAACUUGACUGCAUGAUUUGUGGCACUGGGGGCCCAUAUUCAUGCCCUCCCA